GACAUACUCCCUCCGUCCCAAAAUUAUUGUCUUAGAUUUGUCUAGAUACGGAUGUAUCUAAUACUAAAACGUGACUUGAUACAUCCGUAUUUAGACAAAUUUAAGACAAGAAUUUUGGGACGGAGGGAGUAUUAG
rnacentral:pre_miRNA from 1 species